AGUGAACGCUGGCGGUAGGCCUAACACAUGCAAGUCGAACGGCAGCACAGUAAGAGCUUGCUCUUACGGGUGGCGAGUGGCGGACGGGUGAGGAAUACAUCGGAAUCUACUUUUUCGUGGGGGAUAACGUAGGGAAACUUACGCUAAUACCGCAUACGACCUACGGGUGAAAGCAGGGGAUCUUCGGACCUUGCGCGAUUGAAUGAGCCGAUGUCGGAUUAGCUAGUUGGCGGGGUAAAGGCCCACCAAGGCGACGGUCCGUAGCUGGCCUGAGAGGGUGAUUCGGCACCCGGUAUGUGAGACUCGGCCCAGACUCUUACGGUAGGCAGCAGUGGGGAAUAUUGGACAAUGGGCGCAUGCCUGAUACAGCCAUACCGCGGGGGUGAAGAAGGCCUUCGGGUGGUAAAGCCCUUUUGUUGGGGAAGAAGAGCAGCAGGUUUAUACCCCGCUGUUCUGACGGUACCCAAAGAAUAAGCACCGGCUAACUUCGUG
rnacentral:rRNA from 1 species